GACGAACGCUGGCGGCGUGCUUAACACAUGCAAGUCGAACGGAAAGGCCCUGCUUUUGUGGGGUGCUCGAGUGGCGAACGGGUGAGUAACACGUGAGUAACCUGCCCUUGACUUUGGGAUAACUUCAGGAAACUGGGGCUAAUACCGGAUAGGAGCUCCUGCUGCAUGGUGGGGGUUGGAAAGUUUCGGCGGUUGGGGAUGGACUCGCGGCUUAUCAGCUUGUUGGUGGGGUAGUGGCUUACCAAGGCUUUGACGGGUAGCCGGCCUGAGAGGGUGACCGGCCACAUUGGGACUGAGAUACGGCCCAGACUCCUACGGGAGGCAGCAGUGGGGAAUAUUGCACAAUGGGCGGAAGCCUGAUGCAGCAACGCCGCGUGCGGGAUGACGGCCUUCGGGUUGUAAACCGCUUUCGCCUGUAACGAAGCGUGAGUGACGGUAAUGGGGAAAGAAGCACCGGCUAACUACGU
rnacentral:rRNA from 1 species